rnacentral:rRNA from 1 species
AGAGUUUGAUCCUGGCUCAGGACGAACGCUGGCGGCGUGCUUAACACAUGCAAGUCGAACGGAAAGGCCCUUUCGGGGGUACUCGAGUGGCGAACGGGUGAGUAACACGUGGGUGAUCUGCCCUGCACUUUGGGAUAAGCCUGGGAAACUGGGUCUAAUACCGGAUAGGACUACGCGAUGCAUGUCGUGUGGUGGAAAGCUUUUGCGGUGUGGGAUGGGCCCGCGGCCUAUCAGCUUGUUGGUGGGGUGAUGGCCUACCAAGGCGACGACGGGUAGCCGGCCUGAGAGGGUGACCGGCCACACUGGGACUGAGAUACGGCCCAGACUCCUACGGGAGGCAGCAGUGGGGAAUAUUGCACAAUGGGCGCAAGCCUGAUGCAGCGACGCCGCGUGAGGGAUGACGGCCUUCGGGUUGUAAACCUCUUUCAGUGCCGACGAAGCGCAAGUGACGGUAGGCAUAGAAGAAGGACCGGCCAACUACGUGCCAGCAGCCGCGGUAAUACGUAGGGUCCGAGCGUUGUCCGGAAUUACUGGGCGUAAAGAGCUCGUAGGUGGUUUGUCGCGUUGUUCGUGAAAACUCACAGCUCAACUGUGGGCGUGCGGGCGAUACGGGCAGACUUGAGUACUGCAGGGGAGACUGGAAUUCCUGGUGUAGCGGUGGAAUGCGCAGAUAUCAGGAGGAACACCGGUGGGGAAGGCGGGUCUCUGGGCAGUAACUGACGCUGAGGAGCGAAAGCGUGGGGAGCGAACAGGAUUAGAUACCCUGGUAGUCC